ensembl:lncRNA
CAUUUAUUAUUCAUAAAGCUAGAAUGGCCUUUUUACCAAACACACUCCUGUAUCUUCACAUCAUUAAUUAGUUUAAUUCUGAUGAUCUUCAUCUUUCAGUUUAUCCUGGAGCUGAUAGGAAUGUGAUUGUGAUCGCAGCAACAUCUGGAGGAUUAUUCAUCAUCAUCAUAAUCAUCAUCAUCAUCAUCAUCAUCAUCAUACUAUUUAUAAUGUAAAUAAAAUAGAGUAUAUUAAUUUACUUUCAAACUAAUACAGAAGGAUGUUUGAUUAUUAACUGUAUAUUAAAGAAUGAAAUUACUUGUUUGAGUUUCAUUUACUGGCAGGAAAUGGAUAAAAAGAAGAUCUACUACACAAGAGUAUGAGGUGAGAUGAUCAAAGAACCAGAGAUAAGCAAGAAACAGCUGCCCUCAUUAUACAGAGUAACCUUACAAAAUACGUCAUCACCUUUAAAUUCAUCAAAACCAUAUUAAAUCAUAGUUUGUCAGAAAUUAAGUCACAUUAAAUACAAUCCAAACAAACACACAUAUAAAUAUCCUUUACUGUUUCCCUGUAGACCAAUGAUCCCAGUGCAAGCUCAUAUGCAGCUCUUGACCUCAAGUCCAGAUCUGAUGACCUUUACAACACACUCACAGUAAGUGAAAUACAAAAAACUUGUGCAUUCAAAAGUUAGGUGAUAUAUCAAAUAAUCAAUGUGUUUGUCACAUAGACUGUCCCUCCCACACCUGCUGUUCACCAGUCGGGAUCUUCUGAAUAUGAGAAUCUGUCACCAUAUCACAAGACGCCACAGUAAGAUAAAGCACAAAUUAAACUUUACUCAACUUUUGUCACAUUGCUGGACACCCACAUCACAACUCCUGAUGAAAAUGAAUGACUAUGUGUGAAGGCAAUAAAGUCAGUCUGGUUAGUAAUGAGAGAAGAUGC